AUUGAACGCUGGCGGCAGGCCUAACACAUGCAAGUCGGACGGUAGCACAGAGAGCUUGCUCUCGGGUGACGAGUGGCGGACGGGUGAGUAAUGUCUGGGGAUCUGCCCGAUAGAGGGGGAUAACCACUGGAAACGGUGGCUAAUACCGCAUAACGUCGCAAGACCAAAGAGGGGGACCUGCGGGCCUCUCACUAUCGGAUGAACCCAGAUGGGAUUAGCUAGUAGGCGGGGUAACGGCCAACCUAGGCGACGAUCCCUAGCUGGUCUGAGAGGAUGACCAGCCACACUGGAACUGAGACACGGUCCAGACUCCUACGGGAGGCAGCAGUGGGGAAUAUUGCACAAUGGGCGCAAGCCUGAUGCAGCCAUGCCGCGUGUAUGAAGAAGGCCUUCGGGUUGUAAAGUACUUUCAGCGGGGAGGAAGGCGAUGUGGUUAAUAACCGCGUCGAUUGACGUUACCCGCAGAAGAAGCGCCGGCUAACUCCGUGCCAGCCGCCGCCGUAA
rnacentral:rRNA from 1 species